UAGGGAAUCUUCCACAAUGGGCGAAAGCCUGAUGGAGCAACGCCGCGUGUGUGAUGAAGGGUUUCGGCUCGUAAAACACUGUUGUAAGAGAAGAAUGACAUUGAGAGUAACUGUUCAAUGUGUGACGGUAUCUUACCAGAAAGGAGCGGCUAAAUACGUGCCAGCAGCCG
rnacentral:rRNA from 1 species